AAGUCGUAACAAGGUUUCCGUAGGUGAACCUGCGGAAGGAUCAUUAAUAAUUUUCUUUUGAUCCAUUUUCCACAUGGAUCAAUCCAUCCCAUAUCCAUCUUGUGUGCACUGAUUGAAACCAUAUAUGCUUUUGGCAGUGCAAGCGUCUGGAUUUUUUUUUUGUUUCCUUGACCCCCCUGCCUGCCAAAAGUUUUUAAGUCUAACCAAUCCGCAAUUCCUUCCAAUCUUUUUUCUGGCCUGAAAAUUCGUUUAUUGUAUUAAAUAAAUAAAUAAAAAAAAAAAAACAACCUUCAACAACGGAUCUCUUGGCUCUC
rnacentral:misc_RNA from 1 species